rnacentral:rRNA from 1 species
GAGGCUUGCUACUUCGAUGUCGGUUCUGCCUAUCCUGGUGGUGCAGCAGCUACCAAGGGUGGGGUUGUUCGCCCAUUAAAAGGGAUCGUGAGCUGGGUUUACACCGUCGUGAGACAGGUGUGUUGCUUUUUGGCGGAAGUGCAAGGGUCUCUGACGAGAAGGUUCCCACAGUACGAGAGGAACGGGGAAUCGGCGCCUCUAGUCCAUCAGUUGUCCGGCAGGGCAUCGCUGAGCAGCCACGCGCUACGGGAUAAGGGCUGAAAGCAUCUAAGCCCGAAACCCCCUCGAAAAAGAGAGACCUUUAAGGACAUUCGUAGAUGACGAGUUCGAUAGAGUCGGGGUGUA